GGUUUGGGUUCGUGGGAGCCCCCUCCCCCACUCAUUUUAGGCUUCCUUGGAGGAGUCACAGUGGGCGGGGACUGCUGUCGGCCUGAGAGGGGUGUGAGAUGGGGGGGUGGUGUAUGUGUGUUAAAGGCACUUGGAAAAGAACCCUUAAGAAUGCUGGGUGUCUGGGAGGCUGGAGGGGAGGGGGAGAGGGAAGGAAAUUUUGGAGGAGGUGGGUAGCCAUUCUGGAACCCUCUCCCCUUUCCCCGCAUACACAGGGAGAGGGACCCACAGGAGAGGCCAGGAAAAGCUGAGCCAGUAGGAUCCUGUGCCCCAGGGAGAGUAUUUGCCCCAGCGGGCCCCCACACCCUCACGGCCAAAUUUAGCCUGGGCCUAGAAAGAAGGCAGACCAGCCAGCCCAUUAAAGGGCCCAUGACGCUCCGGGCCUGUGCCGUCAGGCCCACCUCGGCCUAGGGCACCCCACCCUUCAGAGCUCCCGGCCCCCCACUUCCCGGAGCCCUGCUCCCAGCCCCAUUUCCCUGGACCUCCCACCAGACACAGCAUUAACACCCCAAAGUCCUUCUGGCUCCUGCCCCCAGACUCCUCCCCUGAGGGACCUCUGUACUUUCGCCUCUCCUCCACCCCUAAAUCCUGUCCCUUCAUCCUGGGCCUCCUCCCAGAAGAAGGCCCCAACUUGCCCACAAGGAGAAGAAUCCAGAUUACUGCUGCUGCCAUGGCUGCCCCAGCCUGCCCGGCCCCCGCUCUGUUCUGGCAACUACAACUUGGCCAGGACACUGCUUACCUCUCGACGCCCUUGUGAGGAAGCCUCAACAUCAUGAACUCUGGCGCAUGCGUACAGAGCACCUACCGUGUGCCAGGCACAGAGGAAGCCUCGACGGGCAACACCCUGCCCCCCACGGAGCUUGCACACCACCAGGGGGAAUGACAGGUAAUCCCCCGCCUGCCACUCUGCUCCAGGCUUUACGGACAUUUCCGGGCAGUAACUCGUUCCAUUCCCCCUGCAGUUCCGUGAGGCCAGUGUUAUUUCAUCCCCAUUUUCAGGUGCAAAAAGGGAGGCAUGAGGGCCGCUUGGCUUCCCCAAGGCCAUGCUCCUGACCAGCUGAACACAUGUGAACCACUCAGCCCACUGCCCUACUCAACCCCCGUGGCGGCGGCUGCUCUUGCUGGUGGGGCACCCUUCCCCCUCCUUCUUGCCUCCGCCCAAGGAUCUUGGUCCAGGCGCGAAGGGGGUGGGAUGCCCUUCUCUUUGGGGGCUUCUUGGAGCAGACAGAGGGGACUCUCCCCAGCUGCCCUGAGGAGGAGGCAGAGACCCCCAGGUGCCAGGGUUCCAAAAUGCUCUGUGUUCGGUGAGCACCCCUCCCGGGCCCUGAGAUGAAGGGCCCUGGCAUCUCACCGCCAUACCCAACACCCCAAGCAAGCGUGGUGGGGCCCGAGGGACAGGGUGUCGGCCUGCCGACGGGAAUGACCAGCACGUGGGCAGCUUACUUAGUCCUCGUCUUUUUUGCUGUCUCUCCACCUGACCGUCCCACCUGUCCCUGGAGAGCCACCAAAUUCCAGAGUCAGCGUCCACUCAGGCUCUCAGGCAGGGCAGGCUUUGUCCCAGAAUCACUUUGGCACCUAUCCGCCUUCUCAGAGAUGGAGGGCACGAGGGAGAAAGGUUCUGGAGAAAGCGAAAAAGUCAGAGGGCUCUGGGUGGGGGAGGGGGGAGGCAGAGGUGCCAGAGACUGGCUGGCGGCCCAGGCCUCAGCCCCUCCGUGGCUCCAUGUGACUCCUCUGCUAUAUUUGGAGCGACCCACUCACACCCUCCGCUGUUUUCAGGUAGCAGGGCCCGAACCCAGUGCUGCCAGGCCCACAGAGGCCAGCUUCCUUACAGAUCCUUUUCCCCUCCGUCUCCAAACCAGGGGACCCGGGGACUGUGCCAGGGGUCAGCUGGAAGUCCCCUGUGGCCCACCAGAGGACCUCUCCCACUCAGAGCUGUCUGGAUGAGCAGGUGAGGCAAAGGCGGAUGGAGGAAGGGAACUCUGAGAGCCGGUCUCCUCCUCAGGCACCCACUGCACAAGAUCCAGAGAGCAGAUGAAAAACAGAAGCCACCAUCCAAACACAGGAAUGUAUAUUAUUAGCAGUUGGAGCAGGCACUGGCGUCCUUCGAAUCCGCUGCCGACCAACUAUAUUGCCCAAUCCUUCCGGUUAAUUUUUUUCUUUGACCUCCCUGCACGUCUCUGGAGCUUCCACAGCUAUGGCUGUCUGUGUUGCAAAAUACAUAUUUACAGGCCCUCUAAGCCUGGCUAAAUAUAGGCUUUCUUUUAAAGCAACUGAUGAGUUGGAGAAAUCUUUCUUCUGUCCCAUCGCUUCCCCACUCCCCAACACACACACACACACAGACACACACACACACACACACACACUGACUCUCCUUCCACCGGUGGGCCCCAAAGGACCCCUGUCCUUGCUUAGGCAAUGGGGGACUCUUGAGGCAUCAACAGCAGGAAUGAAAAACCCUUUGGGAAGUGGAGAAGGGAGGUCACUUUCACUUCAGGGAUGACCCCAAAAGAUCUGUAGGACCUUCAGGCAGGGGGCGUUUAUAUUUCAGAAGUCCACACAAUAGACCUCAGAAGGAGGGGCGCCCUGGUGGCUCAGUAGGUUGAGCGUCCGACUCUUAAUUUUGGCUCAGGCCAUGAACUCACGGUUUCAGCAUCAAGCCUUGCAUCAGGCUCUGAGCUGAGCGUGGAGUCUGCUUGGGGUUCUCUCUCUCCCUUUCCCCCUUCUCUGCUUUCUCUCUCUCCCUCUCUCUCGCUCUCUCAAAAAUAAAUGGACAUUACAAAAAUUAAUUAAAAAAAAUACAGCUUAGAAGGAAACAAGAGGCUGGAAGCUUCAUAAAGACCCACACGAUGGGGCGCCUGGGUGGCUCAGUCGGUUAAGCGGCCGACUUCAGCUCAGGUCAUGAUCUCUCGGUCCGUGAGUUCGAGCCCCGCGUCGGGCUCUGUGCUGACAGCUCAAAGCCUGGAGCCUGUUUCAGAUUCUGUGUCUCCCUCUCUCUGACCCUCCCUUGUUCAUGCUCUGUCUCUCCCUGUCUCAAAAAUAAAUAAAACGUUAAAAAAAAAAAAAAA